GUAUUGUGGUGAUUUUCUCCCCACUGGACUGGUGAGUUUUCCCCUUUUUCUCUCUGGCUCACACUUGACUUUACAGUAUUAUCAAUAUUGUUUCAUCGUGUAUUUCUUCACACAGUUUGUAAAGAGUAUUUUGUACAAUACACAAGUCCUUAAAAUGUAUUUUAAUUUUUACUUCAGGAUUUCCUGAUUUUGUUUCCCUGGAGACGUGGCUCUUCCGACAAUGGUGUUUCAAUGGAUUCGACCCUCCCUUGGCAGCUUCACAAAAUUUCGACCAAUUCAAGACGUCCUUGGCAAAUUCACAUUUCACUUAGAUGGACGAAGAUGUGCAGAGCUCACUCACCAGUUGGUUAUACAGGAAAGUAUUUCACAAUUUUUCCAAGGUUAUCGUCAUGAUUAUGAUGUGACACUCAGUGAAUGAAAAUGUAACUUGGCUUAGUUUAUGGUUUUGCCCAUGAAUAAUAUCCACUUUGUUAUACUCUGUUGUUGUUAUUGUGAGAUUCGGUGCUGCCUUAAUGUUGCUUCUGUAUAGCUAACAGCACAGAUUAAAAUUAUAUGGCAAACAGCCAAUUGUGCCCCAAUCAAAGAAAAUGAUAACCAAGGAAAAUGUAGACAUCGUGAAAAGUUUGAUUAUUUUCAUUAAUCUUAUUAUUUCAUCCUUUGGUCCGUGUUCUAAUUUGGAUUUAUUUCUUCAGGUAUUUCAACAUAUUCAAGUCAUCCUCGGCAAAUUCAGAGUAAGGACAUUGAGUUUUUGAUAUGUUGGCAAUUUUUUUAACUUUUGCAAUUAUAUUUCGCACUAUAAUAUGGCAAAUUUGCAGCCUUUGGUUCUUGGAUACAGAACAUCAAAGAUGGCGCUAUGAGAUUGGGAUUCGAAAUACACAGCUUUAAAGCAGAGAUUGUCUUGUUUCUUAUUAUAUAUAGUUUAUUGUCUUGUCCUUUGAUUUUGAAGCUAAAAAUUGAGAAAAGCAAGUAGUAGGACAGUAU
rnacentral:lncRNA from 1 species